ensembl:lncRNA
AUGUUUUUUAAUCCUUUAUGGUAUUUUUCAUUUAAUUCUAUUAAACAGGUCAGUUGCAGCAGUCUUUAUAUCACGGACGACUCCAACACGGCAAUAUUUCAUCACACAGUCAUUAUGAGGUCCACGGCGAUGCAGAGCACCUUCCACCCGCUGCUGGUGCUCCUGCUUUUGGGUUCAUGCGCCGACCCUCACCGGCUUCUGCUUCUGCCACAUCUUUUUCUGCGUCUGGUUUUUCCACUGAAACACCACCACCACCACCAUGAGCUGGAACUCCACGAGUUAGUGGAGCUAGCUUGUUCCAGGGAAGAUCAUUCCAAAGGUCAAUCCAUCUGGCAGAAAUUGUUAAUGAGAAACUCAGUCCUUCCAGGACAGUAAUUGUGCGCUUUUUGGAAGCUGAGGCCUGCGUUGAACGAAUUUCGGCCAAAGUUCAAGAUGCCGUGGGCUCUGAUGAGCCUAUUACCUUGACGGACACCCAAGGAAACGAAAUAAUGGACUCUGAGGGCACAAGAAGUAAGUUGUAUGAUCAGAAACUUGCUUCUAAUUUGUGGUUUCUAAUAAACCUUAAUGUUGAUUUUAAAGGAGUCAUUGAUUGCAAAAAAACAAAUUUACCUUGUCACAGUUGAUUAACGACAGUUCAGUGGGUAAAAUGUACAUACAAUGAACCCUUAAAGUCCAUUGACACUUCUUUCAUAUGCAAAUCUCACAAUUAAAAACCGGUAGGUAUGUAAAGCAGGAUUUGCUAAGAAGAUGUAGCUGAAAAGGUGCUGUUCUGACCCUUUGUUCAUUACAACCGCAAGCUGUAGUAUUAUGUUGUUGCUAACGUAUCCUCCCUGUUUCUAUUAUCGGUAGAUGUGAUGGUUUAGUUUAUUGGCAAUGUGGCAAUUGUUUACAGCCCAACCAAUGUUACAUACCCAGAGGUGUCAAGUAACAAAGUACAAAUACUUCGUUACCUUACUUAAGUAGAAAUUUUGGGUAUCUAUACUUUACUGGAGUAAUUAUUUUUCAGCCUACUUUUUACUUCUACUUCUUACAUUUUCAUGCACUUAUCUGUACUUUCUACUCGUUACUUUUUAAAAAUGGCCUUGUUACUCUUAUUUAAUUUCGGCUUGUUUUUAUUCUGCUGGCGUUCAAAAAAAUACAAACAAAAAAACCUAUCCAGAUUAUUCGCGCCAUCGGAUAGAGUGAAUUUGAUUGGUUGGAUGAGAAUAGAAACAUAUACCAUUCUGACACCCUAUUGGUUUAUACGCGAUCCAUGGCACCUGUGCAUGACCAGAGCCCGUACAUUCUCUGACAUGACAUAAAUCGCGGCACAUUCCAGCUACGAAAUAGCAGUCGUAGAUGAGCGAAAUGUCCCAACCAAGCACCAGUGAGGAGGUUGGUAGCCAAGAAGACCAGCCAACCCUUCUACGUCACUGGCCGUACCUGGAAGAAUUUUUUGAAAUGGUUGUAUAGUCAUUAGAUGGCCUUUAGAAAAAUGUUUUUUUUGGGGGAAGUGGGGCAGUGUGCUAUAGAGGUGUGUUGUGUGUAUGUGUCACUAAUUCACGGAUUGGAUAAAUGCAGAGACCAAAUUCCUUGUAUGUGUGGGCAUACUUGGCCAAAAAGCUGAUUGUAAUCUAUAGGCCCCUGUGGCACGGCCUAAGCUUUUGUCCUUAAUGGCAUUUUUUCCCCCUUGCAUUACUUUUACUUUAAUACCUUAAGUAGUUUUGAAACCAGUACUUUUAUACUUUUACUUAAGUAAAAGCUUGAGUUGAUACUUCAACCUCUACAGAAGUAUCUUUAAAUGCUAGUAUCUAUACUUCUACUUG